UUAUUAUGAGAGUUUGAUCCUGGCUCAGGACGAACGCUGGCGGCGUGCCUAAUACAUGCAAGUCGAACGCUUCUUUCCUCCCGAGUGCUUGCACUCAAUUGGAAAGAGGAGUGGCGGACGGGUGAGUAACACGUGGGUAACCUACCCAUCAGAGGGGGAUAACACUUGGAAACAGGUGCUAAUACCGCAUAACAGUUUAUGCCGCAUGGCAUAAGAGUGAAAGGCGCUUUCGGGUGUCGCUGAUGGAUGGACCCGCGGUGCAUUAGCUAGUUGGUGAGGUAACGGCUCACCAAGGCCACGAUGCAUAGCCGACCUGAGAGGGUGAUCGGCCACACUGGGACUGAGACACGGCCCAGACUCCUACGGGAGGCAGCAGUAGGGAAUCUUCGGCAAUGGACGAAAGUCUGACCGAGCAACGCCGCGUGAGUGAAGAAGGUUUUCGGAUCGUAAAACUCUGUUGUUAGAGAAGAACAAGGACGUUAGUAACUGAACGUCCCCUGACGGUAUCUAACCAGAAAGCCACGGCUAACUACGUGCCAGCAGCCGCGGUAAUACGUAGGUGGCAAGCGUUGUCCGGAUUUAUUGGGCGUAAAGCGAGCGCAGGCGGUUUC
rnacentral:rRNA from 1 species